AUGGCCUGGACCCCUCUGCUCCUCAGCCUCCUUGUUCACUGCACAGGUUCUGUGUCCUCCUACGAACUGACUCAGCCAGCCUCGGUGUCGGUGGUCUUGGGACAGACAGCCACAGUCACAUGCACUGGAGAUAAACUCUCACGUAAAUAUGCUGACUGGUACCAGCAGAAGCCAGGCCAGGCCCCAGUGCUGGUCAUCUAUGAGGAUAGCAAACGGCCCUCAGGGAUCCCUGACCGAUUCUCCGGCUCCAACUCAGGGAACACAGCCACCCUGACCAUCAGCGGGGCCCAGGCUGGGGACGAGGCUGACAAUAGUGCCACCAACGAUGGCAGUGGGAGCAGCUGGCAGUGA